UCACCCUCUCCACGGCCGCAACCGCCGCGCUGGUCCUGCGCAUCCGGGGGUCCAUCGCCACCACCACGUCACCCUCCCUGCACUUCCGCAGCGCCUGCGUCCACACGAGGCAUAUGCAGUCGCAGAAUAACAUGUACAUGAUGGAACAUAGUAAAAAAAACAUGUACAUGAUGGAGGAAUGAAGAAAGAAAGGUUGGCGAGGUGGGAAGCAGUUUGUGCAUGCUCCGGCAAUCAUCGUAGCAGCUUCUUCCCAGAAUGAUCCUCCGCUCCUGGCCUUCUCCCCA